rnacentral:rRNA from 1 species
UACGGAGGGUCCAAGCGUUAUCCGGAAUCAUUGGGUUUAAAAGGGUCCGUAGGCGGUUUGAUAAGUCAGUGGUGAAAUCUUUCGGCUCAACCGGGAAAUGGCCAUUGAUACUGUCAGACUUGAAUUAUUAGGAAGUAAACUAGAAUAUGGUAGUGUAAGCGGUGAAAUGCUUAGAGAUUACAAUGGAAUACCAAUUGCGAAGGCAGGUUACUACUAAUGGAAUUGACGCUGAUGGACGAAAGCGUUGGGGUAGCGAAACAGG